UUCCAACUUUUGUCACUUCCGCCUGACAGAAAUAAAAGUCAGUCACCAAAACACAGUUUUCCAACACGUAGUGUGUAUUUAUAAUUUUUCAUUGCUGAUGUAAGAGGAUGGAAGCUGGCUGAAAGCAUGGCACAAAAAUUAAGACUUCCUGAAGACACGAGAGUGUAAACUUUCUGGUAAAUCCCAUUCUAAUGUAAAAUAUGACAGAUUACUGUAUUAAGGAAAUUUCUAGUAUACUACAGGCUAUCACACAUAACAAUUUUUGAGAAUUUGGCAACAGUUGCUCUUUGUUCCCAAACGUUAUGGGGGGAGGAGAGUAGAGAAUGGAUAUUUCAGCUGCCUGAAAUAAUCUGUUCCUCCUCCAUAACAUGGGAACAAAUUAAUUCACCAACAAGUCUUUAUCUGUGUUUAUUCCUCUUAUCAUCAACAACAAAUCAUGUAAGUUUGAAAACAUUUGAUCAUUAUUUGCCAGAGUUAUAAGGGGGAAACAUAUAUUUUAGCCACCUGAAAUAAUCCGUUCCCCCUCCAAAACACAGGAACAAAUUAAUUUACAAGUCUUUAAGUGUGUUUACUCCUUUCAUCAUCAAUAAUAAAUCCUGUAAGUUUGGUAGCAUUUGCUCUUUAUUUGACAAAGUUAUGAGGGGGGAACCAUUCUGGGGAUCAACAAUCAACACCACCACAGACGUUAGUGGUAAUAAAUGUUUUUAAACUCUAAAAACAAUCUAUAUCAUACUUAUCGCAUAGACAAAAACCACAUGAAAACUGUGGAAUGCUCACUUUCUAGGUGAUCUACCCACAAGAGAAAAAGUCUUUGUUCUUGAAUCCACUGGGGGAAUCAAAACAAGACAUCCAGAAAUGUUUGCAAAUCACAAAGUAUGGUUAAAAAUUUAAGUUUAACUCAAGUAUGAAAAUCAAAUAAAGUUGUUCUUAUUAAUAUAUCUAUAUUUACAGGGCAUUUAUGAGGAAGAAGGGGUGCAAUCUCUCAUGUUGGACAUGUGACACAGUCAAGCAUCCAAAACAACAAGAUAGUACAUCAUGUGGUGUAUUUUCACUGAAGGUGCAUACAUAUUGUCACACAGUGUAUGAUUUUAGGAUUUUGAUAUAUAUUUUGAGACAUGUACAGUGAAUUACUUUCUUUGUUACUUAAAUUUAAAGCCAUUAAAUGAAGCUGUUCAUUUCAGUUUGCAGAAAAAAUCUUAUCAAAAGAGGUUGUGGAUUUUCCUGUUUCCAGAGACUACAGCAUGAGACUUAUCCUUAACAGUGAGGACCUAAAAGACUUGUGUCACUUCUGUGGAGAGAUGGAAAGUGACACGGAUGUGAACUGGGUAGGAAAGUUUUUAGAAUUAUUCAAAGACUUAGUGUUAGUAAACUAAAUGAAGAGGACACAUUUUAUCUAAUCUUAUCUUGUGUAAACAAUGGUUUAUGAUUCUCCAGCAGUUGGAAUAUAAGGGAAUCUAAAAUGAUUGAUUGUAUAUUGUAAUUGUAAAGACAUAUUUUUCUAAAAAAAACUGAUAUUUUUGGUUUCUUUCCUAGAUCCAGUGUGACAUGUGUCUGAGGUGGUUCCAUCAUGCAUGUGUGGGAAGCCCACCAACUGGAAAAACUUAUCACUGCUUUGCGUGUUUGCCUUAGUUGCCUUAGUUUGCUGUGGUGUGCUUGUUUAUGUAUGUUGUUUAAUGGUUAAUAAAUUACAUUUUGAAAACUGUUU